rnacentral:pre_miRNA from 1 species
CUUGCAUGAGGGCCAGAGCCUGCUUCCUCCGGUAGCCAAGGAUGACUUGCCUAUAUUUGCUCCUUCAGAAGUCCUGGUUAAUUACAUGCCAGGUUUCAGAUGAGUUUGGCGAUAGGCAGUCACCUUGGCUAGCCUGAGUGGCUCUUGCCUCUUAUGGAAGGCCU